rnacentral:lncRNA from 1 species
UCUUGUUAGAUGAACAUUCAGACCACACUUAUGCAGCAAAAGAACAGCCAUUUGAGUUUGAAAAAAUAUGUACGCUUGAAUUUGAUUGCCAUGCUGAUUUUUUUCUUGCACCACUGGAAGGCACAGAGCAACUGAUUACACAAUACAUUUGUAAUUGAGAUAUUUGCAGUGAAUGAGACACACAAUGAACAUGAAGAACCUUGCCUUUCUCCCAUUCUCUCUUUCAGACUUUAUGCAAUUUAUUACAAGUUAGCAUCAAUGAUACAUGUACAUAUAUCCUUAGCUGUACAGAUACCGAAAUUUGCAUACAGUUGAACUGUACCAGAUCAGUUGCAGGGAAAUUAGCACGAAGCUCUCAGUUAUCAUUGACAGUAACAUUAUAAGUGAAUGUUUGAUAAUAAAAAUAUUAUUUAUACCUGGAA